AAAUCUCCGUGCAAGUUUUGCUGCGGCGAAUUGUAGUCUAUAGAGGCGUGAUCAGUGUGGGCGCUUGGGGCAAGUUCCUUGGAAGAGGACAGCAUGGAGGGUG